rnacentral:rRNA from 1 species
AUUGAACGCUGGCGGAAUGCUUUACACAUGCAAGUCGAACGGCAGCACGGACUUCGGUCUGGUGGCGAGUGGCGAACGGGUGAGUAAUGUAUCGGAACGUGCCCAGUCGUGGGGGAUAACGUAGUGAAAAUUACGCUAAUACCGCAUACGAUCUAUGGAUGAAAGCGGGAGAUCGCAAGACCUCGCGCGAUUGGAGCGGCCGAUAUCAGAUUAGGUAGUUGGUGGGGUAAAGGCCCACCAAGCCAACGAUCUGUAGCUGGUCUGAGAGGACGACCAGCCACCCUGGAACGGAGACACGGUCCAGACUCCUACGGGAGGCAGCAGUGGGGAAUUUUGGACAAUGGGCGAAAGCCUGAUCCAGCCAUUCCGCGUGCAGGAUGAAGGCCCUCGGGUUGUAAACUGCUUUUGUACAGAACGAAAAGGUUUCUACUAAUACUAGGAGCUCAUGACGGUACUGUAAGAAUAAGCACCGGCUAACUACGUGCCAGCAGCCGCCAGUAA